UGAAUGUUUUGCUUAUUGUCGUAACCCAUUGCCAUUUAGGGCGUAGGCACACAUUAAGUAUGUAACACUUGAAGGAAUAAACAGACUAACCACAGAAGUUCUGGCUCAUCCCCCCUUGAAGUUUCCUUCAUUUUACCUCCUUCUCCCUUUUUUUCUUUCCUAUUCUGCCUAGCUUUGUGGGUUCAGAACAAAAUGGGGGAGACCCCUCAUAAUGCCUUUGCAGGCUUCCCAAAUUUCUCUUCAUGCCAUAUAAACAAAAAGAAUGCAGAGCAGGGGAAGGAAAGAAUAUUAUUUGUUAAUAUGUGAUAUGAUCAGGCUCCAAAAAGGCUGGGACAGAAGUUUAUAGAGGGAAUACCAAGUCUCAAAAGAAAAAUGCCCAUAAAUGCUGAGAGCCACAGCAGAGUCGGAAUGACGCAUGGCAUUUAUGCCAGAAGGGAGUGGUUGAGAGGUGAAGGCCAGUGAGCCAUUGAGAUGAUGAUGGUUAUGUUAAGCUGUGUAUUCAAUUGUAUAUUAGACCCCUGCUGUCUGACUUGGCCUGCUACUUUGGAGUUCUCAUGGGGAUUCCUGGAGAGUUCGCAUUGGUUGGGGAAGUGCCGGAGGAGGAGGGAUUUCCGGUGUGUGGUGUUCCUGGAAGG
rnacentral:lncRNA from 1 species